rnacentral:rRNA from 1 species
UGGGGAAUAUUGCACAAUGGGGGAAACCCUGAUGCAGCGACGCCGCGUGAACGAAGAAGGUAUUCGUAUCGUAAAGUUCUGUCCUAUGGGAAGAUAUGGACAGUACCAUAGAAGAAAGCUCCGGCUAAAUACGUGCCAGCAGCCACUGUAAUACGUAUGGAGCGAGCGUUGUCCGGAAUUAUUGGGCGUAAAGGGUACGCAGGCGGUUUAAUAAGUCGAAUGUUAAAGAUCGGGGCUCAACCCCGCAAAGCAUUGGAAACUGAUAAACUUGAGUAGUGGAGAAGAAAGUGGAAUUCCUAGUGUAGUGGUGAAAUACGUAGAUAUUAGGAGGAAUACCAGUAGCGAAGGCGACUUUCUGGACACAAACUGACGCUGAGGUACGAAAGCGUGGGGAGCAAACAGG